ACUGGGCGUAAGCGUGCGUAGGUGGUCGUUUAAGUCCGUUGUGAAAGCCCUGGGCUCACCUGGGAACUGCAGUGGAUACUGGGCGACUAGAAUGUGGUAGAGGGUAGCGGAAUUCCUGGUGUAUCAGUGAAAUGCGUACAGAUCAGGAGGAACAUCCAUGGCGAAGGCAGCUACCUGUAUCUCCAUUGUCACUGAGGCACGAAAGCGUGGGGAGCAAACAGGAU
rnacentral:rRNA from 1 species